UCUCUUUGGAACCCCGUCUCCUGUCGCUGGCCUGUGAUUUGGCUGUGCAGCCAGUGUCUCCAUGUAUUUCCGCAUCUUCUCAACCAUCCAGGAUGGCAGAACAAAGGAUUUCAGCUCCUCCAACUUCAGGUCCAAGCAUCCUCUGAAGGAGACAUGGGAUGGACAUUAAGGGGAGGGUGACAGUCUUGUCCGUGUGCCUAGUGAGGCAGAAGCAGGAUGGGGAAAGGGGCCUUCGUUGUACCUGUAGUCAUCGCUGGCAGCCAAGUCCCGGAUGUCUUCUUCAAUGAGAAGGGGCCCAGAGUCUCGGCCACUGUCAAUGUUCACGCAAGCAUACCUUGGGGCCUUCUCGGCGAAUUGGUUCACAGGAUUUUGGUUUCCAUCUGCUCAGAAGGAAAAAAGAAAGCAGCUGCCCUGAGCUCAACCCGGAUGUAAGUGGUUUCCUGAUGUCCCCCAAGU
rnacentral:lncRNA from 1 species